GGUUUUUCCCCCAAGGAUUUACCGGCUAUUGAGGCCCUGACUGUUACAGCAGUCGGGGCUU
rnacentral:antisense_RNA from 1 species